rnacentral:rRNA from 1 species
GAUGAACGCUGGCGGUAUGCCUAACACAUGCAAGUCGUACGAGAGUUUUUAACUCUAGUGGCGGACGGGUGAGUAACACGUGAGAAUCUGCCCUUAGGAGGAGGAUAACAGCUGGAAACGGUUGCUAAUACUCCAUAUGCCGAGAGGUGAAAGGAUUUAUCUACCUAAGGAGGAGCUCGCGUCUGAUUAGCUAGUUGGUAGGGUAAUGGCCUACCAAGGCGACGAUCAGUAGCUGGUUUGAGAGGAUGAUCAGCCACACUGGGACUGAGACACGGCCCAGACUCCUACGGGAGGCAGCAGUGAGGAAUUUUCCGCAAUGGGCGAAAGCCUGACGGAGCAAUACCGCGUGAAGGAAGAAGGAUCGUGGUUCGUAAACUUCUUUUCUCAGAGAAGAAAUCUUGACGGUAUCUGAGGAAUAAGCACCGGCUAACUCUGUG